AGAGUUGAUCAUGGCUCAGAACGAACGCUGGCGGCAGGCCUAACACAUGCAAGUCGAGCGCGCCCUUCGGGGUGAGCGGCGGACGGGUUAGUAACGCGUGGGAACGUACCCUUUGGUAGGGAAUAGCCACUGGAAACGGUGAGUAAUACCCUAUGAGCCCUUCGGGGGAAAGAUUUAUCGCCAAAGGAUCGGCCCGCGUUAGAUUAGGUAGUUGGUGGGGUAAUGGCCUACCAAGCCUACGAUCUAUAGCUGGUUUUAGAGGAUGAUCAGCAACACUGGGACUGAGACACCGGCCCAGACUCCGUACGGGAGGCAGCAGGUGGGGAAUCUUGGACAAGUGGGGGCCAACCCUGAACUCCAGCCAUGCCGCGUGAAGGAAGAAGUUAUUUCGGUAUAGUAAACUUCUAUCAGCGGGGAAGAAGAUGACGGUACCCGCACAAGAAGCCCCGGCUAACUACGUGCCAGCCGCCGC
rnacentral:rRNA from 1 species